ensembl:lncRNA
GGCUUCAAUAUGCAAACGUCUGGAGGACACAAUUCAGUCCACAACAGCUGGGGUGAGACAGUAGGAUGAGCCAGUGGCCGGGAUAUGGGGAUUUUAAGGACCGAGGGGAGAUCUGGAAAGAUAUCCCCACACAGGGGGAACACCAUGUGAAGAGGAAGCAGAGAUCUACAAGCCAAGGAAAGAUGACAGGGAACCCCCAGGAGCUGGGGAGAGGCCGGGACAGAUGCCCCCUCAUAGCCUCAGAAGGAAUCAACUCCACCAUUCUGCCAUCACCUUGAUCACGGCCUGCUGGCCUCCAGAAGGGUGAAAUAAUAUACUUCUGUUGUUAAACCAC